rnacentral:rRNA from 1 species
AACGAACGCUGGCGGCGUGCCUAAUACAUGCAAGUCGAGCGCAGGAAGCCGUCUGAACCCUUCGGGGGGACGGCGGUGGAAUGAGCGGCGGACGGGUGAGUAACACGUAAAGAACCUGCCCAUAGGUCUGGGAUAACCACGAGAAAUCGGGGCUAAUACCGGAUGUGUCAUCGGACCGCAUGGUCCGCUGAUGAAAGGCGCUCCGGCGUCGCCCAUGGAUGGCUUUGCGGUGCAUUAGCUAGUUGGUGGGGUAACGGCACACCAAGGCGACGAUGCAUAGACGACGUGAGAGGGUGAACGGCCACACUGGGACUGAGACAAGGCCCAGACGCCGACGGGAGGCAGCAGUAGGGAAUCUUCCACAAUGGACGAAAGUCUGAUGGAGCAACGCCGCGUGAACGAUGAAGGCUUGCGGGUCGUAAAGUUCUGUUGUAAGGGAAGAACAAGUGCCACAGGCAAUGGCGGCACCUUGACGGUACCUUGCGAGAAAGCCACGGCUAACUACGUGCCAGCCGCCGCAGUAACAC